CUUCCAAGGAUCCCUAGUACGGCGAGUGACCGGGAAGAGCUCAAAUUUGAAAUCUGGCGUGCUCAGUGCGUCCGAGUUGUAAUCUAUAGAGUCGUUUUCCGUGCCGGACUGUGUCCAAGUCCCUUGGAACAGGGUAUCAAAGAGGGUGAUAAUCCCGUACUUGACACAAUGACCGGUGCUCUGUGAUACGUCUUCUACGAGUCGAGUUGUUUGGGAAUGCAGCUCAAAAUGGGUGGUGAGUUCCAUCUAAAGCUAAAUAUUGGCGAGAGACCGAUAGCGAACAAGUACCGUGAGGGAAAGAUGAAAAGCACUUUGGAAAGAGAGUUAAACAGUACGUGAAAUUGUUAAAAGGGAAACGAUUGAAGUCAGUCGUGACUGAGAGGCUCAGCCGGUUCUGCCGGUGUAUUCCCCUCAGUCGGGUCAACAUCAGUUUUGUUCGGUGGAUAAGGGCAGUUGGAAGGUGGCACCCUCGGGUGUGUUAUAGCCAGCUGUCGCAUACAUCGGAUGAGACUGAGGAAUGCAGCUCGCCUUUAUGGCCGGGGUUCGCCCACGUUCGAGCUUAGGAUGUUGACAUAAUGGCUUUAAACGACCCGUCUUGAACCACGGGA
rnacentral:rRNA from 1 species